GACGAACGCUGGCGGCGUGCUUAACACAUGCAAGUCGAACGAAGAGCGACGGAAGCUUGCUUCUAUCAAUCUUAGUGGCGCACGGGUGAGUAACGCGUAAUCAACCUGCCCUUCAGAGGGGGACAACAGUUGGAAACGACUGCUAAUACCGCAUACGAUCUAAUCUCGGCAUCGAGGAUGGAUGAAAGGUGGCCUCUACAUGUAAGCUAUCACUGAAGGAGGGGAUUGCGUCUGAUUAGCUAGUUGGAGGGGUAACGGCCCACCAAGGCGAUGAUCAGUAGCCGGUCUGAGAGGAUGAACGGCCACAUUGGGACUGAGACACGGCCCAGACUCCUACGGGAGGCAGCAGUGGGGAAUCUUCCGCAAUGGACGAAAGUCUGACGGAGCAACGCCGCGUGAGUGAUGACGGCCUUCGGGUUGUAAAGCUCUGUUAAUCGGGACGAAGGGCCUUCUUGCGAAUAGUGAGAAGGAUUGACGGUACCGGAAUAGAAAGCCACGGCUAACUACGUG
rnacentral:rRNA from 1 species